CUUAAAGUGACUUGGAAAGAAAUGGAAGGAUAACAAAUGUGAAAUAAAAGGUGAAUAUAUGUCAAAAUAUAAGACUAAAGAUGCUUUGCUGAAAAAUAGACCAAGUCGCAUACCGAGAUAUCAAUGGAGUGGUCUUGUCUCUUAUUGGCUUUCUGAUAAAGCUAAGAGGCAUACACAAGCAAAUAGAAACAACAGGGCCAAGCAAAAGAUGCCUCACACAGGAGGAUCCAAAAGUAUUGCUACAAUAAUGCAUGAGCAGGCUAAAAAUGGGAUAGAGCCUACACGAGCAGAAAUUUUCUUAUUAACUCACAAAAAACGCGCAGAUGGCAGACCACUGGAUGAUGAUUUUGCCAAGGCAAUCAUAAGAUUUCUUCUUUCUUUUAGUCUUGAAAUCGAGAAACAAUUAGAUAGAUUUUUUGAAAGUGAAUAAAUUAAUUUCAAAUUGGAUUUAUCGUGUAUUCUAUUGUUAGGACAUGAUAAAUGAAAGAAUGAAAGAUCCACAGAUCAACCAUCUCACAAUGUUGCUUGGGAAGGCGAUGUAUGUUCUCAAGUGUUAGGAAAUGAAAAAAGUGGGUAUGCUCGUGGUUUAGGACUUGGUCCAACUCCUUCAGUUCUAUGGGGAAGUAGAUCUUCCGCAGGAAAUAUUACGGUAGAGGAUUCAUCUAAUGAGGUUAUACAAAGGCUAGAACAGGAGAUUACUGAGUUAAAGGCGAAAAAGAAUGAAGAAAUGAAUCUGAUGAAACAAAAUCAUGAUAAGCUGCAAUCAGAAUUACUCCAAAUGAGACAAUUCAUGCAAAAAUAUGCUCCUAACGAAUCUGUCUCAAGAUAUCAAUGGCAACUCAAAUGAACAGCUUCCCAACACCAACAAUGGCCAAGAAGAAGUACCACAAUCAUCAAGGAUACCUAGUAGUGCUGAUAUUACUCCAACUCAUGGUCAUACAAUCUGAAGUUCGCAAAUUUCACAUGUGGGAGAUUUCAAUAUGAAGAAGAGUUGCAAAAAUUAUUUGAAGGCAUUAUUCAAUAUAUUAGUAGGAACAAUAUUAGUUUUUGAUAAGUUGUUACAUUCAUAGAUAGGAUUAGUAGUUCCUUUUAUUUGUAUAGAUUU